UGGGGAAUCUUGCACAAUGGGGGAAACCCUGAUGCAGCGACGCCGCGUGAGCGAUGAAGCCCUUCGGGGUGUAAAGCUCUUUCGGCAGGGAAGAUUAUGACGGUACCUGCAGAAGCAGCUGCGGCUAACUACGUGCCAGCAGCCGCGGUAAUACGUAGGCAGCAAGCGUUGUUCGGAGUUACUGGGCGUAAAGGGUGUGUAGGCGGUUGUUUAAGUUUGGUGUGAAAUCUCCCGGCUCAACCGGGAGGGUGCGCCGAAUACUGAAUAACUAGAGUGCGGGAGAGGAAAGUGGAAUUCCUGGUGUAGCGGUGAAAUGCGUAGAUAUCAGGAGGAACACCGGUGGUGUAGACGGCUUUCUGGACCGUAACUGACGCUGAGACACGAAAGCGUGGGUAGCAAACA
rnacentral:rRNA from 1 species